UUUCUCAAAAUAUGAAUAUUUAUUUGCUUGAAUAUUAUUUUAUAUGUAGUUAACGUAGUAAAGUUAUUAUUUUAGAUGUGAAAGUAAAUGGUAGUGAAAUGUUAUUCGAUUUAUAUGAUAUCUAGUUUAUUUAUUUUUACAUUUUAGCGUUAGUUAAAAAUUAGUUAUGGUUAAGUAGUUUUUGUUA